UUUUAACAAAUUUCUCUUGCGCCAACCAUACAUACAAGGAAAAGUUUAUGACAAUCGCCUCCUCUCCAGGAAGCAAUUCGUAAGCCCUUUCUCAUUUUCGUCCCCAUUUGAGCGCACUUCACGAGCUGAGUUCGGGAUGAAUGGAACUUGCAGAUUCAGAAAAUAGAUUAUAGAGGAAUAGAGAGACACUCAUUGGUUAUGCCUCCUGGUCAUUCUCAUAGCAGGCCUUUCAUUUAUGGAGCCAAAUGAUCAUCAAGAGGUGGAGGAAAUACAAGACUUUUUGUUAUUGACUAUUGAAUCUAUUCAUGUUUCCCCUUUAAUGUGAUUGAUUACAGCUUUUUUGUUUUUAGCAUGCUAAGAAAUCCGAUGGAUGAAUUAAAUUCUGGGAAUGGAUUGAAAAAAUGAAGCAUUAGUUAUUCUCUUA